AUGGACAUUACACGUAUCGAUCAUAAAGAGCGCGCUGAAGUCGGCUGCUCCGCGAUGACAUCAGCGACUGUACCCGACGACGGUACGUUUUUUAAUUAUUUUCUAACCUCCCUCCCCGAGUGUGGUAGUCCAGAAAAUACACGCUAUCAAGCACGCGAGCGAGCUCCGAACGUGUUAAAAUUGCGACCGCAGUCGAAUCGUUUUUUUUCGGAUUAAAAACUGUAUAAAUAAAUAAAAUCAAAAGAUGACGUCGAUGAAGAAGUACAUCCAGAGCUUUUACUACGACCCCUUCAAAUGGUCGCUGGUAAAGGGCAUCGGUGUCUUUGCCCUGGGAGUCAAAAUUGCACUGGAGUGCAAAGGCAUAGACCUAAUGGCAUCACCAAGCAUGUAAAAGAAGAUGAACCAAUUUGAAUGAAUCCACGAGUAGCUCUAUUAAAUUCUGUAUGUUAAAGUUGUUUUUUUUUAAUAGCGAAGAAGCUUGUGAUGUACAUAUAAAGUUAGGCAUGUUUUUUUUUAAUUUUUAAAGCAUUGCGACAUUGAAAUGUAAAUUUAAUGCAUUUUAUUAGUUGGCCCUGGUUGAUCGAUCACAAUUUGAUGUGUUUAUUUACAUUACAAUAAAAUGUCAAUAUAAAACCUA